UGGGGAAUAUUGCACAAUGGGCGAAAGCCUGAUGCAGCGACGCCGCGUGAGGGAUGACGGCCUUCGGGUUGUAAACCUCGUUCAGCAGGGAAGAAGCGCAAGUGACGGUACCUGCAGAAGAAGCACCGGCUAACUACGUGCCAGCAGCCGCGGUAAUACGUAGGGUGCAAGCGUUGUCCGGAAUUACUGGGCGUAAAGAGUUCGUAGGCGGUUUGUCGCGUCGUUUGUGAAAACCAGCAGCUCAACUGCUGGCUUGCAGGCGAUACGGGCAGACUUGAGUACUGCAGGGGAGACUGGAAUUCCUGGUGUAGCGGUGAAAUGCGCAGAUAUCAGGAGGAACACCGGUGGCGAAGGCGGGUCUCUGGGCAGUAACUGACGCUGAGGAACGAAAGCGUGGGUAGCGAACAGG
rnacentral:rRNA from 1 species